rnacentral:lncRNA from 1 species
AAGCAUACGUACGGACAUACUUUACAUCGUACAAAUGUAUACAAACAGAUUUAAGAAAAAAUGGAAAAGAAAGAGAAAUAAAGGGAUCAGUACACAAAGAUCAAAACACAGCAUGAAAACUGGGUUUUUCAGACUGACCCAGCAUUUUUACGUCAAAUUGAGGUAAAAAGUGAAGUGUAGGAAUUUACCAGGCAAGAAAAUCAAUGCAUAAAAGAGUCAAUUUGAGGAAAUUCAAGAUGCCCAUUUGAAUUCUAAGAACGAUCUGUUUUCUUGGAUGCUUUAGCAGCUUGGAUUCUGAUUUUUUAUGAAAUAAUAUGGAGAGAUCAUGAAGGAGAAGACUUGAGGAACAUGAGACUUGUAGUACAGUGUUGAAAAUGACUCCUUGUAUUUCUCCUCGAUAAACAAAAUUUUUAACUCUUGCACCUUUAUGUCGUUAAUAGCUCCAUAAAAUCUUUAUUUUUUCUCUCUUUUAUUAAUUCCUUUCUUUUCUUUCUUCCAAAGAAACAGAUGUAUAAACUAGGAACCGAUACGAGGGUUGCUUACCCCUACGGACACCUCACAUGGAGCGUAGGUUAAUUUUCGG